rnacentral:rRNA from 1 species
UACGUAGGGGGCUAGCGUUGUCCGGAAUCAUUGGGCGUAAAGCGCGUGUAGGCGGUCCGGUAAGUCCGCUGUGAAAGUCGGGGGGCUCAACCCUCGGAUGCCGGUGGAUACUGUCGGGCUUGAGUACGGAAGAGGCGAGUGGAAUUCCGUGGUGUAGCGGUGAAAUGCGCAGAUAUCAGGAGGAACACCAAUUGCGAAGGCAGCUCGCUGGGACGUUAACUGACGCUGAGACGCGAAAGCGUGGGGAGCAAACAGG